rnacentral:rRNA from 1 species
CCUACGGGAGGCAGCAGUGGGGAAUAUUGCACAAUGGGCGCAAGCCUGAUGCAGCGACGCCGCGUGAGGGAUGACGGCCUUCGGGUUGUAAACCUCUUUCAGUAGGGAAGAAGCGAAAGUGACGGUACCUGCAGAAGAAGCGCCGGCUAGCUACGUGCCAGCAGCCGCGGUAAUACGUAGGGCGCAAGCGUUAUCCGGAAUUAUUGGGCGUAAAGAGCUCGUAGGCGGUUUGUCGCGUCUGCCGUGAAAGUCCGGGGCUCAACUCCGGAUCUGCGGUGGGUACGGGCAGACUAGAGUGAUGUAGGGGAGACUGGAAUUCCUGGUGUAGCGGUGAAAUGCGCAGAUAUCAGGAGGAACACCGAUGGCGAAGGCAGGUCUCUGGGCAUUAACUGACGCUGAGGAGCGAAAGCAUGGGGAGCGAACAGGAUUAGAUACCCUGGUAGUCCAUGCCGUAAACGUUGGGCACUAGGUGUGGGGGUACAUUCCACGUUUUCCGCGCCGUAGCUAACGCAUUAAGUGCCCCGCCUGGGGAGUACGGCCGCAAGGCAAAACUCAAGGAAUUGACGGCUGNGACGNGCGAGACGACGACGAGGGAGAGG